CCUACGGGAGGCCGCAGUGAGGAAUAUUGGUCAAUGGACGAGAGUCUGAACCAGCCAAGUAGCGUGAAGGAUGACUGCCCUAUGGGUUGUAAACUUCUUUUAUAUGGGAAUAAAACGUUCCACGUGUGGGAUUUUGUAUGUACCAUAUGAAUAAGGAUCGGCUAACUCCGUGCCAGCAGCCGCGGUAAUACGGAGGAUCCGAGCGUUAUCCGGAUUUAUUGGGUUUAAAGGGAGCGUAGGUGGAUUGUUAAGUCAGUUGUGAAAGUUUGCGGCUCAACCGUAAAAUUGCAGUUGAAACUGGCAGUCUUGAGUACAGGAGAGGUGUGCGGAAUUCGUGGUGUAGCGGUGAAAUGCUUAGAUAUCACGAAGAACUCCGAUUGCGAAGGCAGUUCACUGGACUGCAACUGACACUGAGGCUCGAAAGUGUGGGUAUCAAACAGGAUUAGAUACCCUUGUAGUC
rnacentral:rRNA from 1 species